rnacentral:rRNA from 1 species
AUACGGAGGGUGCGAGCGUUGUUCGGAAUUACUGGGCGUAAAGGGCGCGUAGGCGGCACUGUAAGUCAGAUGUGAAAGUCCAGGGCUUAACCCUGGAAGUGCAUUUGAAACUAGUAGACUUGAGUAUGGGAGAGGGGAGUGGAAUUCCUGGUGUAGAGGUGAAAUUCGUAGAUAUCAGGAGGAACACCGGUGGCGAAGGCGACUUCCUGGACCAAUACUGACGCUGAGGCGCGAAGGCGUGGGGAGC